UACGUAGGUGACAAGCGUUGUCCGGAUUUACUGGGCGUAAAGAGCGCGCAGGCGGUCGAUCAAGUCGAGUGUGAAAGCCCCCGGCUCAACUGGGGAGGGUCAUUCGAUACUGAUCGACUCGAAGGCAGGAGAGGGUAGUGGAAUUCCCGGUGUAGUGGUGAAAUGCGUAGAUAUCGGGAGGAACACCAGUGGCGAAGGCGACUACCAGGCCUGUUCUUGACGCUGAGGAGCGAAAGCAUGGGGAGCGAACAGG
rnacentral:rRNA from 1 species